AGAUGAAACACAUCCAAUUCCUUCUUCUAUGAACAAAUAUGAGGUCUAUUUAAAGAUACACAGCACACUAUCAAAAAUAUUUACUCCCGGAUUACUGCAUAAGAUGGUGGAGUAGAAAGACCCUGAGCUCAACUAUGCUUACCGGCACACCAAAAUCACAACUAUCUGCAGAACAACCAUCAAUGAAAAAGACCAGAACUGAUGAAGAAAGAUCUCCUACAACUAAAGAUAUAAAGGAGGAACCACAAUGAGGUAGGUAGAAGGGGUGGAGUUGCUAUAUGGUCAAAUUCCAUACACCCAAGUAGGCGAUUUACAAACAGCAGAAUAAUUCUGUGGCUUUCCCAAAGGAGUGAGAGAUCCGAGCCCCAUGUCAGACUUUCUAGACCAGAAGUUCUGCACGGGGAAGACAAGCCUCCAAAGCAUUUGGCUUUGAAGGCCAGAAAGGCUUAAUUUCAGAAAUCCCAAAGGGCUGAGGGAAAGAGAUUUCACUCAUUUUUUUUUCCCCUGACUAAGCAAAAGACUUAAGGAAGAAAGCAGCAGGGUAAGGCAACCCAGAACUGCUCUGCCUCAUGGCUUGCAAUCUCAGAGUUUAUGGGAAUGUGGUUAGUUUCCAGGUUGUCUCUGAGCAAUCAUCUUUCUCAGCCCAUAUUUGGUCUCGCUCAGGGUCCAUCUUCACUUACUUAUUUACUUAAAAAUUUUUAUGGCAGUACAGUUGAUUUACAAUGUUGUGCCAAUUUCUGUUGUACAGAAAAAUGACUCACAUACAUACAUACACACACAGGCAUUUUCCUAUUAUUUUCCAUCACAGUCUGUCCCAGGAAAUUGGAUAUAGUUCCCUAUGCUAUACAGUAAGACCUUAUGGUUUAUCCAUUUUAAAUGUAUUAGUUUGCAUCUACUAACCCUAGACUCCCCAUCCAUCCCAUUCCUCCCUCCCCACUCCCCCUUGGCAAUCACAAGUCUGUUCUCUAUGAGAUUUCACUCUUAAGGGAUGCACAUAAAAUCUCACCUGCUCUGGAAUUCUGGCCAGAAGCAGUAAUUUGAUAGGUCCCCGGGUUAGACCUAAUCCUCCUCUGUCCUGGGGCAUCUCCCUAAGAGGCAGAAGGCAACUGCAGCUCACCUAGGGACACAGAAAAUGGUGCAAACAUUUUUUGGGAGCUUGUUCUACCACAUGGACUCUGGUGCUCACAGAGUCAUUUUGGAAUUCCCUCUAGCUUAUAAGCACCAGGACCCAGGUGCACCCUUGGGCCAGUGCUGAGAUGCCCAAGGCCAAACUACUAACUAGGCAUGGACAUGGCUCCAACAACCGGAAAACAGGCUGGUUUAUAACUCGCUAAGCCCACAGGUACCUUUGGACAUGGCCCUGCUCACCAGAGGGCCCAGGAUACAGGCUACAAACUAGUGCACAGGCACUAGAUCUGAGACCUCCAGGGCCCUCCAGCCACAGACUACAGACUACAGGAUUCAGCUUCCACCCACUAGUGAGCAAGCACCAGCUCUAUAAUCCAUAGAAUGCAGCCACACCCAAAUGCAAGGCUGUUGUAGCUUCAGGCCCUGCUCCACCUAACAGGAGCCAGACAGCAGCCACAAAGAAAUUGCAGUCUGUAUCUGAAGAUACAGCCUACAUACCAGCAGGCCAGACCCUGCCUUGGGACUGGCUGGGCUGUAGAGCUGCCCAUCAGUGAGCCUGCUCCAGCCUUGAGCCCAGCUCUACCCACCAGUGGACAGACAUCAGCCAUAAGAAAAUCACAAUCUGAACAUCCCCACCAGCAGGCAAGACCUUGCCAUGGGGCAGUGUGGGCCCAUGCCCUACCCACUAAAAGGCCCACACCCUACCCACUAAAAGGCCAACACAGACUCAAGACAUAAGCCCAGCAGUUAACUGCGUCAGGAACAAACCAGCUCCAGCUACCAGUGAUUUGACACCUGCUCUGGGACCUCUGGAACCUGCAAUCAGACUCUAGGACCCAGCUGUGCCCACCAGAGGUUGGCACUAACCCCAGGACCUGGUUUCACCUACCAGUGAGCAGGCAACAUCCCUCAUCCCCAGAACCCAGACUCUACCUACCAGGAAAACAGCACUAGUCUCAGGGCCCCCCAGGAUUCCACAGUCAGCCACCUUGCUACCCGGUCCCACGAACCUUGUCCCACCAACCAAUGUCCAGCAGCCUUCACACAAGAACCUGGCUACAAAACUGACUAGGGGUCAAACAAGCCUACCAAACUAUAUACAUGGUUAUCCCACCACAACAGAAAGACCCACACAGCCCUCAUAGAGGGGACCAAUACUGUGAACAGUGACAAGAGGAAGUGCAUUGCUGGGUUGCAUAGGAUGUCUCUUACAGAAGACCACUUCUUCAAGUUUGGGAAACAUAAUUAACAUAUCAUAUACAUAAAAGUAAAAACAGGGAGUUCCCUUCAAGGCUCAGCAGUUAACAAAUCUGACUACGAUCCAUGAGGAGGCGGUUUUGAUCCCUGGCCCAGCUCAGUGGGUUAAGGAUCCGGCAUUGCCAUGAGCUGUGGUGUGGGUCACAGAUGCGGCUGGGAUCCUGCAUUGAUUGGUAAGGCUGUGGCAUAGGUCAUUAGCUGUAGCUCUGAUAUGACCCUCAGCCUGGGAACCUCCAUAUGCUGCAGGUGCAGCUCUAAAAAGCAAAAUAAAAUAAAAAACUCAAGAGAAGAAUGCACAGACUAAGAAGUUAGAAGUUUUUAACAGAGUUAGAAAAUAAAACGAACAACUAACCAGAGAUGAAUAAUACAAUAACAAGUGAAAAAUACACUAGAAAGAAUCAACAGUAGACUAAAUAAUACAGAGAAAUGAAUUAGUGAGCUGGAAGACAGAGUAGCAGAAAUGACUAAUGCUGAAGAGAAAAAAGAAAGAAAAGAAAUUAGAAUAAUUUAGGAGACCUCUUGGACAACAUCAAACUCAUUAAUAUUUGCAUUAUAGGGUUCCAGGAGGAGAAGAGAAAGAAAGGGGCUCAGAAUAUAAUUGAAAACAUAUUAGCUGAAAACUUCCAUAAUCUAGGAAAGGAAACUGGCAUGUAAAUCCAAGAAGCACAGAGAGUCCCAUGAAAGAUUAACACAAAGAGGAACACACCAAGGGACACUGUAAUUAAAAUGACAAAAAUUAAAGAUAAAAAGAGAAUAUUAAAAGCAACAAGGGAGGAGUUCCCAUUGUGGCUCAGUGGGUUAAGGACCCAAUAGUCUUGAUGAGAAUGUGGGUUUGAUCCCUGGCCUUGCUCAGUGGGUUAAGGAUCCAACACUGCUGCAAACUGCAACACAGGUUGCAGAUACAGCUCGGAUCCAGUAUUGUUGUGGCUGUGGUACAGCCCUCAGCUGCAGUUCUGAUCCACAAUAAGUAGUUAAGGGAUACAUAAAACAAUUUUAUCUAAAAUAUGAUAUGAAAAACAGUACCCAUGAGGGGUGAAGUGUAAAAAUGCAGAGUUGAGAUGCAUUUGAAGUUAAUACAUCAACUUAAAACAAUCACACACACACACACACCCCACCCCUGGUAACCAUGAACCAAAAACCUGUAAUAAACACAUAUACACAGAAAGCAAUCAUAAUAGCACUAGAGAUUGUCAUCAAAUCACAAGAGAACAAAAGAAGAAAGGAACAUACAAAACAACACCCAAACAAUUAACAAAAUGGUGAUAAGAACAUCCACACCAAUAAUUAUUUUAAAUGUAAACAGACUAACUGCCCUAAUCAAAAUACUUGGAGUGAGCGAAUGGAUACAAAAAGGAGACCAUACAUAUUCUGCCCGCAAAAGACCCAUUUCAGAUCUAAAGUUACACACAGACUGAAACUAAGGGGAUGGAAAAAGGUAUUCCAUGCAAAUAGAAAUCAAAAGAAAGAGGGUAGCAAUACUCAGAAAAAUAUAUAUUCUAAUAAAAACUAUUAUAAGAAAUAAAGAAGGACAUUACACAAUGAUCAAGGGAUCAAUCCAAGAAAAUGUAAUGAUUCUAAAUAUAUAUGCACCCAACAAGGAGCACCUACAUAUGUAAAGAAAAUAACACAUAUAAAGGGAGAAAUUGACAGUAAUAUGAUAAUAGUAAGGGACUUUAACAGUCCAUUUAUGUGUAUUAAUGGACAGAUAUCCAAACAGAAAAUCCAAAAAAGAAACACCAACACAUUAGACCAGAGGUACUUGGUAGAUAUACAAAGAACAUUUCAUCCCAAAGUAGAUUCUUCUCAAGUGCACAUGGAACAUUCUCCAAGAUAAAACAUGUGGUAGACCAUAAAACAAGACUUGGUAAACUUAAGAAACUUGAAAUCAUAUCAAGAAUUUUUUUUCGGAGUUCCCUUCAUGGAUCAGUGGUUAACAAAUCCAACUAGGAACCAUGAGGUUGUGGGUUUGAUCCCUGGCCUUGCUCAGUGGGUUAAGGAUCCAGUGUUUCUGUGAGCUGUGGUGUAGGUUGCAGAUGCGGCUCGGAUCUGGUGUUGCUGUGGUUCUGGCGUAGGCUGACAGCUAUAGCUCUGAUUAGACCCCUAUCCUGGGAACCUCCAUGUGCCUCGGAUGUGGCUCUAGAAAAAGACAAAAAAAAAAAAAAGACUUUUUUUUCAAACCACAACACUAUGAGACUCAAAAUCAAUUACAAGGAAAAAGCUGCAAAACCCACAAACAAGUGUAGACUAAAGAAUAUGCUAAUAAACAACCAAUGGAUCACUGAAGAAAUCAAAGAGGAAAUUGAAAAACACCUGAAGACAUGGAGUUCCCAUCAUGGCUCAUCAGACAAUGAACCUGACUAGUAUCCAUGAGGAUAUAGAUUCAAUCCCUGCCCCUGCCCAGUGAGUUAAGGAUCCAGCUUUGCUGUGGGCUGUGGUAUAGGUCACAGAUGUGGCUUGAAUCCAGUGUUGCUAUGGUUGUGGCACAGGCUGGCAGCUGUAGCGCCAAUUUGACCCCUAGCCUGGGAACUUCCAUAUGCCAUAGGUGCGGC
rnacentral:lncRNA from 1 species